GACGAACGCUGGCGGCGUGCUUAACACAUGCAAGUCGAACGGAAAGGCCCUGCUUUUGUGGGGUGCUCGAGUGGCGAACGGGUGAGUAACACGUGAGUAACCUGCCCUUGACUUUGGGAUAACUUCAGGAAACUGGGGCUAAUACCGGAUAGGAGCUCCUGCUGCAUGGUGGGGGUUGGAAAGUUUCGGCGGUUGGGGAUGGACUCGCGGCUUAUCAGCUUGUUGGUGGGGUAGUGGCUUACCAAGGCUUUGACGGGUAGCCGGCCUGAGAGGGUGACCGGCCACAUUGGGACUGAGAUACGGCCCAGACUCCUACGGGAGGCAGCAGUGGGGAAUAUUGCACAAUGGGCGGAAGCCUGAUGCAGCAACGCCGCGUGCGGGAUGACGGCCCUCGGGUUGUAAACCGCUUUCGCCUGUGACGAAGCGUGAGUGACGGGAAUGGGUAAAGAAGCACCGGCUAACUACGU
rnacentral:rRNA from 1 species